AACGAACGCUGGCGGCGUGGAUAAGACAUGCAAGUCGAACGCUGAUUUCAAGGUAGCAAUAUUUUGAAGUUGGAGUGGCGCAAGGGUGUGUAACACGUGGGUAAUCUGCCGUGAAGCCUGGGAUAACUUGCUGAAAGGCGAGCUAAUACCGGAUGUGAAAAUCGGAAGGCAUCUUUUGAUUUUCAAAGUUGGGGACCGCAAGGCCUGACGCUUUAUGAUGAACCCGCGGCCUAUCAGCUAGUUGGUGAGGUAAUAGCUCACCAAGGCAAUGAUCGGUAGCCGGCCUGAGAGGGCGCACGGCCACACUGGAACUGAAACACGGUCCAGACUCCUACGGGAGGCAGCAGUGGGAAUUUGCGCAAUGGGGAAACCUGACGCAGCAACGCGCGUGGGGAUG
rnacentral:rRNA from 1 species